rnacentral:rRNA from 1 species
UUGAACGCUGGCGGCAGGCCUAACACCUGCCCGUCGAACGGUAACAGGAAGAAGCUUGCUUCUUUGCUGACGAGUGGCGGACGGGUGAGUAAUGUCUGGGAAACUGCCUGAUGGAGGGGGAUAACUACUGGAAACGGUAGCUAAUACCGCAUAACGUCGCAAGACCAAAGAGGGGGACCUUCGGGCCUCUUGCCAUCGGAUGUGCCCAGAUGGGAUUAGCUAGUAGGUGGGGUAACGGCUCACCUAGGCGACGAUCCCUAGCUGGUCUGAGAGGAUGACCAGCCACACUGGAACUGAGACACGGUCCAGACUCCUACGGGAGGCAGCAGUGGGGAAUAUUGCACAAUGGGCGCAAGCCUGAUGCAGCCAUGCCGCGUGUAUGAAGAAGGCCUUCGGGUUGUAAAGUACUUUCAGCGGGGAGGAAGGGAGUAAAGUUAAUACCUUUGCUCAUUGACGUUACCCGCAGAAGAAGCACCGGCUAACUCCGUG